CAUCUUCAGGCUUUGCUCUGCUGGAGGCUGCUGGGAUGCCUGUUGCAUGCACACAGCCCCUGUGAGCGGAGAUAAGGCUGCUGGAACUGAGAUACGGCACGUAGGGGAUUUCCUAGCUGGUGGCAGUAUCUCAGAUUUCUACUUUUGAGAUCAGCAGAGGGAAAAGUCUAGUUUGCACAACAGUCCCUGUAAAGCAGGGCAGCCACUCCUAGGCAGCAGAACCAGCUUCGCUCUGAUGCUCCCGAAGCCAAGCUAACCCCAGAACCACGUCCCUCCAAAGCCCCCUGCAGCCACAGAGGGGCCGGGAGGCAGGGGUGGGCUCCCCGCUGUUUGAGAGGCGACACCCGAAGAUGCCCGGUGCUGUCGGUCGCAGCGAGUUCUCUGGGCCAGCCGUACCCCCCUGCCUGCCGGCCGUUCUGCUCCGCAUCCCCGAGCCUCGUGCCGAGGGCUGUCUGUCCCGUGUGGCUGGGAGACACAGCACAGAGGAUGCCCGGGCACCGUGGCGCUGGCCCUUCACACCGGGCACGGCGAGCAAAGGGGUCGCUGGCAGUAAAAAGGAAAGGAUGUCAGGAUACACUUGUCUAGAAUGACAAUCAAGCCCAGAACCCUUCCAAGCUCGCGCCUUCUCAAGAAGUAGAAGGCUUCACCUCAGCAGCGUGUGCAUUGUGCGGGUUGCAAUUACCAACCACUUUUGUGUUACCGUAGGCUCUCACCAGCUGGGAGAAAGUUUCCAGAUAACACGCGCCUGGAAAAGUCAAUUACCUUGCUCCCUUACCCGCUGCAGAAAUGGGCACCCCUGACCGACACACGGCUUCUCUGUUGUGCUUCUCAUGCCCCCACUUGCCCCAGAAUAAUCACUCUGCGCUCACCAGGCGGUGCUGAGGGCACACUUCUCCACUGCCCCACGCGGGAAAGGGCACCACGAGCCCUGGGAUCGUUUGUAUGAGCAGCAGGCCCAGCACGGGGGCUCAAGUUGGUACGAAUGAAUCCACAGCUGAUGGUGGAUGAGUCCCAGUACCACUGCUGUAUGGCCCAAGGAGCUUCCACAGUAUUCAACCUUCCUUACACUGAAGUACAGAUUUUUAAAUCUCCCAUUGGUAUCUAAAGAAAAUGGACUCCACAACAGCUCUGCAAAUCUCGUCCUAAAAAUUCUCCCAUCUUGUGUGACUUGGGAAAUUGUUAAAAGUUUGAUCUGACCAUGCACCAGACGGCCAAGACUUUGCUCCACAGAUGAAGAGAAAUAAUUAUUGAUCUCUGCAGAGGCAGCAACGAACUCUCCUUCAGAAGAGAACACAGCCCUGUGUGAUCCGUCGGAACGCCGCUGCUGUGAGCUGGCAGUGCCCAGCUGUGCUGCCGCAGCCGCCCCUCGGGCAGGUCUGCUCUAAGGAUGCUGCCCGAGGUGUGAGCAGCCUGAGGGCCCCGCCGGCACGGGCCAGAGCCACGCGCUCCGCUCUCGCACCGUGCGGGAAGGAGCCAGCACCGCUCAUCCUGCCCCCACCUGCAUGUCACCAGCGCAGGCCACCACAGUGACAUUUCCCUUUGCCCACAACCCCGACUGGCAUUGUUUCCCCAAACUGGAGAUUUUUCUCUAAGGCCCAGCCCAUGGCUGAAGCUGGAGUCCCAGGGACACGCCGUGGAAGGGGCUUCGCGCUGGCAGAGGCGCCCUGGGACACUACGAAUGCCUCCUUCAGCACUUCUCCCAGCUGCCCCGAUUUCUUCCCAGGUAAAUGCCUGCAACAACAAAAGUCACAGACCAAGCCCACUUCCUCCUGCUCGUGGACUGUCCUCAUCACUGCAGCACUCCUCAUCGCAGUGAAAUGAGAGCCUCAUUUGGCAGAGCGGUGAGGGGAGCGGGGCUGGCUGCUCAAAGGGAUGUGCAGAUACUCUGUGUCAGGCGUGGAGCCUAGCUCAGCGCGGCGGAGGCAGGGGACAGGGGAACAUGCGACUCCAUUGGACGAGAGCCUAGUUAAGAUCCGUCUGUGUCAGCCCAAAGCUUAAUCUGGAUUGAUGCAAACUGCAGAAAGUAUCAUUAGAGACUGUCUGGGGAAGUCAGAGAGCUUCUCUGCUCCCUUCUUGUCUUCCCCAAUAAUAGAGAUAUUUCUGUUUACAAAGGUGGACUUGAUCCUCAGAAUUUCCUCUGUAGAUCUCCAGUAUUUGCAUGUGUCACCCUGUUUUCCCUGGCUCAUUAAUCACUCACUGUGCUUGUCAAAUUGGAGCAGUGCCUGCUGUGCUCCCGCAACCUGCUCUGGGGGCCCCAGGCUGUUCCUAGCGCUCCUUUGCAGCGCUUUGUGGCACUUCACAAGGCAGCCACCCGCCGCGUGCCCCCGCUCGCACCCCGAGAGCCCCGCGUCGGGCGGGAGCAGCGCUCCUGGCAGACCGCUCGGCACGGGGAGCAGCUCAAGGCUGGUUGUUUGCUGCAGCACAAAAUGCUUUCCUUAAAUCCCAAAUAAAACAUCCUUCAUCGUC